UGCCAGCAGCCGCGGUAAUACGGGGGAUGCAAGUGUUAUCCGGAAUUAUUGGGCGUAAAGGGCCUGUAGAUUGUUUAUUAAGUCCAUUGUUAAAUGUUAAGGCUCAACCUUAGAAAUGCGAUAGAAACUGAUAAUCUCGAGUAUUGUAGAGAUAAAGGGAAUUUCUAGUGGAGUGGUGAAAUGCAUAGAUAUUAGAAAGAACACCAGAGGCGAAAGCGCUUUAUUGGCCUGAUACUGACAUUGAGAGGCGAAAGCUAGGGUAGCGAAAGGGAUUAGAUA
rnacentral:rRNA from 1 species